AGUCCAUAAAAGCACGGUUAGGAGCAAACAGCUUUUCAAUUUCCCUGUGUCCUUUCCUAUGGCUGUGGUUGGAGAGACGUAGAGAGAGGCUGCUGCGAAGUCACAAUCCAGCCACACGGCAUUGAUCCUGUCAUGGCUGGUGUGGUUGUGUCCACACGUGACCUGAACAUCCUUCCCACUCAGUACCAAAUACAGUCAAUUCUGUGGCUUGAUGGUGCGUGGACAUAACAUUCAGAUAUCGCCCAUGAUGAGGAAACAGAAGCUGGGAUAUGUGAGUAAACAUUUCCAAGGUCCUGCAGCUAAUCAAUGGUUGACAACUUCUUUCCUCUGCCUAUGUUGCCAUCCAUGUCAUGGUUUGUGUCAAGACUCUAGGAGAAGUCUACCAUCAGCACCACAGCUACUGUGCACAAAUCCAGAAUGCCAGACUGAAGUCAGAAGGAAAGAUCCUUUAUAUAUUGAAAGAAGAAAGUAGAACCAUUUCUGGGUCCCAGCUGUGGGAAGAGCUCCUGUGGCUGUGAAUUCUGACUUCUGGGUCUUGGCACAAGGUGUGGCCAGCAAGCUAAGCUGUCCUGAGGGUGUGCAGGGCCAGGGGCUGAAGACAGUGUUGGAGCAUCCACAGACUGGUUUGUCUCAAGAAGCAUGUUACUAAAUAUGAAAUAGCAAAAUCUGCAAGUGGGUUUACUUUUCCCCCAUAGAUUAGAAUGGAUUCAAUAUUAUCUCUUUAUUAGCGUCACUUUUAAUCACUUGUAUAACAAGUAGGACAGAAAGGUGGCUUGAAAGUCAAUCAUGUGAGAAUUCCAGAUAAAUUGACUUUGCUCACAACAAUCUGUUAUUCAUGUGACUAUCAACUGUCAUGUGUGCUGGGGCAAAAAAAGAAGAUAAGGAUUCACUGGUAUCAGAUAGUUCCAGGAGGGGAAACCCAGGAUUGAACUUUUUCAGCCUUCUAUGGUAAAAUUUCCUGCUCUGUCGGUGCGCCAAAGCUUUUUUCAGUUUCCUAAACUCCCAUAUUCAAGAAGAUAAGCUAUUUUCUCUUCUUUCUCAUCCUUCCUUGACAAAGCAAAGCAUAUUUUCAUUGUCUACUCUGUGUCAUCCAUGCUUGGUUCCUGUCCUCAAAGAGCUUAUAGUUCAAAUAAAGGAGAGGGAGCAUUUUACAAGGGAAUUAAAGGUAAAAGAUUCUGAAAGCCAGUUUAAAAAGUCGUGAGGGAGGGGUCUGGGAGAAGCUGAGCAGGGGUGAAAGGGUACGAAACAUUAUGGAAGGAGAACAGGGGAGCACCCUGACUACUGGGUGGAAACACCAAUCAGUGGGUAGAAACCACACAGUGGUAACACUGAUCAGUGGGUAGAAAACAAUGACAGCAGGUAUAUGAGGCAUGGAACACUUGGCUUAUUGUAAAGUUUUCAAAAUAUGCAGUCCUUUCUAUCCACCAGGGGUUGGGAGUUGUCUUUGUAUAUCAACCGUGGAAGGGCUGUUUUGGUUCAUCAUUCUGUGGUCUACCUGGGUAGACCUGAUGCAGCCGUGUUUCUGAGGAAAGGAAGAACAGCUUUUGUUUUGUGAUAUGUAAUGGUAGAUGUAGUGCCAUGGAAUGAUGCAGAUUUCAUUCAGAUAUUCUUGGAUCUUGGCCCCAGGACUCACUCAUUCUUCCCUAUAUGAGCAUUGGUAGUUACAGGUUUUAUCCUUCCUUUAAUUGUAAGUCUUUUGAAGCCAAAAACUGUAUCCAAUUUGUCACUGUCUCCUAACAGUACUUAGCAGUGUCUGAUGCAUCAUAGGGAGUUUGUAAAUGUUUGGAUAAAUAAAGGGAAAACAAAAACAACCACAAAAAAACCUUUAUUUUGCUUUAAUAAAAAUAUUUUAACU
ensembl:lncRNA LINC03007 long intergenic non-protein coding RNA 3007